UGCAUGUUAUUCCCCUCGGUCCGCCUCCUCCCCGCCAUCCGUCGUCCGCUGUCAUCGUUUCUCGUGUCGGAUGUUGAUCGGUGAGCCAUGGAAGUUUCCUGAUGUGACUUCAGUUGAGGUAGGUUGCUAUUGUGCUUUGCCGUCGUGGAUUUAAUCUUCCCCGCUGCCUUUUUCGCUUUGAUUUUGUUUGUGUUCUCAUUUCCAGAGUUGUUUGCCUGUUUCCUAUUGUAUUGUGGGUGCUGAUCUGUUGUUUCCUCUGGCAAACACAAAUUCGAUUAGGUGUUCGGGUACUUUAUCCAUGCCCCCUAAUUUAUUUUUCUUUGGUUUGAAGGUCGCCUGUGUUGAUGGUUGGAAUUGGUGGUGAGUUCAUCGGUCUUCUUGCUGCAUCUAUACUAGAUUCAGGUCGUGGAAGUUUUCGUUCUCAACUUUGAACACUAUGUGUCUGUAGUGCAUUGGUGCAUUGGUGAUUCACUAUCUCUUUUAUGUGCCAUUUCGUUCCUGCCAUAGGUGUUCUCUUCGAUGCCUCCUACUCUUUGUAGCCAUGAGAGUGAUACUACUAAAAUGUUGACAAUUCCUUACAUUAUGAAUUUCCAAUUGCUUUAAUUCUAAGCACAACAGAGAAAUAUGUUUGGAAUGAUUGCUUAUACCUAAUCCCUCUUUAAUGUGGUGAUUUACUUCUGAAAGAUUUGUGCCAUUUGCCUAUAGUUGUAAUUACAUACUUGCUUGAACUUUGACUUGGACCUUUCAUCCACCUAUCUUAUGGAACAUGAAUAGGAAACUUUCCAAAAAAAUAGAUGAUCGUUU
rnacentral:lncRNA from 1 species